CUACGGGCUGCUGCAGUGAGGAAUAUUGCACAAUGGGGGGAACCCUGAUGCAGCAACGCCGCGUGGAGGAUGACGCAUUUCGGUGUGUAAACUCCCUUUAUAUGUCAAGAAAAUGACGGUAGCAUAUGAAUAAGCACCGGCUAACUCCGUGCCAGCAGCCGCGGUAAUACGGAGGGUGCAAGCGUUACUCGGAAUCACUGGGCGUAAAGGACGCGUAGGCGGGUUGGAAAGUCAGGUGUGAAAUCCUACAGCUUAACUGUAGAACUGCACUUGAAACUUCUAAUCUAGAGUAUGGGAGAGGGAGAUGGAAUUAGUGGUGUAGGGGUAAAAUCCGUAGAUAUCACUAGGAAUACCUAAAGCGAAGGCGAUCUCCUGGAACAUUACUGACGCUAAGGCGUGAAAGCGUGGGGAGCAAACAGGAUUAGAUACCCUUGUAGUC
rnacentral:rRNA from 1 species